rnacentral:rRNA from 1 species
GAUGAACGCUGGCGGCGUGCCUAAUACAUGCAAGUCGAGCGAACAGACGAGGAGCUUGCUCCUCUGACGUUAGCGGCGGACGGGUGAGUAACACGUGGAUAACCUACCUAUAAGACUGGGAUAACUUCGGGAAACCGGAGCUAAUACCGGAUAAUAUAUUGAACCGCAUGGUUCAAUAGUGAAAGACGGUUUUGCUGUCACUUAUAGAUGGAUCCGCGCCGCAUUAGCUAGUUGGUAAGGUAACGGCUUACCAAGGCAACGAUGCGUAGCCGACCUGAGAGGGUGAGCGGCCACACUGGAACAGAGACACGGUCCAGACUCCUACGGGAGGCAGCAGUAGGGAAGCUUCCGCAAUGGGCGAAAGCCUGACGGAGCAACGCCGCGUGAGUGAUGAAGGUCUUCGGAUCGUAAAACUCUGUUAUUAGGGAAGAACAAAAGUGUAAGUAACUAUGCACGUCUUGACGGUACCUAAUCAGAAAGCCACGGCUAACUACGUG